rnacentral:rRNA from 1 species
GACGAACGCUGGCGGCGUGCUUAACACAUGCAAGUCGAACGGAAAGGCCCUGCUUUUGUGGGGUGCUCGAGUGGCGAACGGGUGAGUAACACGUGUGUAACCUGCCCUUGACUUUGGGAUAACUUCAGGAAACUGGGGCUAAUACCGGAUAGGAUCUCCUGCUGCAUGGUGGGGGUUGGAAAGUUUCGGCGGUUGGGGAUGGACUCGCGGCUUAUCAGCUUGUUGGUGGGGUAGUGGCUUACCAAGGCUUUGACGGGUAGCCGGCCUGAGAGGGUGACCGGCCACAUUGGGACUGAGGUACGGCGCAGACUCCUACGGGAGGCAGCAGUGGGGAAUAUUGCACAAUGGGCGGAAGCCUGAUGCAGCAACGCCGCGUGCGGGAUGACGGCCUUCGGGUUGUAAACCGCUUUCGCCUGUGACGAAGCGUGAGUGACGGUAAUGGGUAAAGAAGCACCGGCUAACUACGUG